CACAAGCGGUGGAUGAUGUGGAUUAAUUCGAUGCAACGCGAAGAACCUUACCUACCCUUGACAUGUCCGGAACUUGCCAGAGAUGGCUUGGUGCCCGAAAGGGAAUCGGAACACAGGUGCUGCAUGGCUGUCGUCAGCUCGUGUCGUGAGAUGUUGGGUUAAGUCCCGCAACGAGCGCAACCCUCGUCCUUAGUUGCUAACAGUUCGGCUGAGCACUCUAGGGAGACUGCCUUCGCAAGGAGGAGGAAGGUGAGGACGACGUCAAGUCAUCAUGGCCCUUACGAGUAGGGCUACACACGUGCUACAAUGGCAUAUACAAAGAGAAGCGAACUCGCGAGAGCAAGCGGACCUCAUAAAGUAUGUCGUAGUCCGGAUUGGAGUCUGCAACUCGACUCCAUGAAGUCGGAAUCGCUAGUAAUCGUAGAUCAGAAUGCUACGGUGAAUACGUUCCCGGGUCUU
rnacentral:rRNA from 1 species